rnacentral:rRNA from 1 species
AACGAACGCUGGCGGCAGGCCUAACACAUGCAAGUCGAACGCCCCGCAAGGGGAGUGGCAGACGGGUGAGUAACGCGUGGGAACGUACCCUUCGGUUCGGGAUAACUCAGGGAAACUUGAGCUAAUACCGGAUACGUCCGAGAGGAGAAAGAUUUAUCGCCGAGGGAUCGGCCCGCGUCUGAUUAGCUUGUUGGUGAGGUAACGGCUCACCAAGGCGACGAUCAGUAGCUGGUCUGAGAGGAUGAUCAGCCACAUUGGGACUGAGACACGGCCCAAACUCCUACGGGAGGCAGCAGUGGGGAAUAUUGGACAAUGGGCGCAAGCCUGAUCCAGCCAUGCCGCGUGAGUGAUGAAGGCCCUAGGGUUGUAAAGCUCUUUUACCC